rnacentral:rRNA from 1 species
GACGAACGCUGGCGGCGUGCUUAACACAUGCAAGUCGAACGGAAAGGCCCUGCUUUUGUGGGGUGCUCGAGUGGCGAACGGGUGAGUAACACGUGAGUAACCUGCCCUUGACUUUGGGAUAACUUCAGGAAACUGGGGCUAAUACCGGAUAGGAGCUCCUGCUGCAUGGUGGGGGUUGGAAAGUUUCGGCGGUUGGGGAUGGACUCGCGGCUUAUCAGCUUGUUGGUGGGGUAGUGGCUUACCAAGGCUUUGACGGGUAGCCGGCCUGAGAGGGUGACCGGCCACAUUGGGACUGAGAUACGGACCAGACUCGUACGGGAGGCAGCAGUGGGGAAUAUUGCACAAUGGGCGGAAGCCUGAUGCAGCAACGCCGCGUGCGGGAUGACGGCCUUCGGGUUGUAAACCGCUUUCGCCUGUGACGAAGCGUGAGUGACGGUAAUGGGUAAAGAAGCACCGGCUAACUACGUG